AAGGGCACCACAAGAACGCGUGGAGCAUGUGGCUUAAUUUGACUCAACGCGGGAAAUCUUACCGGGUCCGGACACACUGAGGAUUGACAGAUAUACGCUCAUUGCAUGUGCUUCGGCGCUGCUUUGAGCUGAAAGAUGCUAGUUCUUUCAUGAUUAUGUGAUAGGUGGUGCAUGGCCGUUCUUAGUUCGUGGAGUGAUCUGUCUGCUUAAUUGCGUAUCAAUAAUAGAGACCUAGUAUACGCGUGGAUUUCGCGUGGUAGUGACCCCCUGUUUCAACGCAGGCGUGUGUCGCACACGCGUGCCGCGCACUGGUCUCAGAUAGCAACGAACGUGACCGUAUUCUAUUGUUGCAGUGAAUAUGUGUGCCUUCGGGCGUACGACCCACUGCUUAGUAUAUGCACGCCUCGGCGAGCAAUAUACAUUAAACUAUAGAGACCGCUGUUUCUUCUUUAAACCAGAGGAAGGAUACGGCAAUAACAGGUCUGUGAUGCCCUCAGAUGUUCCGGGCUGCACACGUGCUACAAUGAUCAUUGCACUGUGCAUCUAACCCAAUGUGCGUGGACGCCGCAUGUUUGUGCCUUCGGGUACACGCAUUGCUGAGCGACCACGCCGAACCUACUUCGAAAGUAAAAUUUCUCUGUGGGUAAUCCAUUAGAAGUAAUGACUCGCAUAGACCAUGGCACACCAAAUGUACGCGCAGGUCUACCCGGCUCGCCUUUGUGUGAGUGCAGUGCGUAGCUUGUUGUUUCGUACGUGCCACUCCGUAUUAAUUCGUACGUGGGGAUAGAUCAUUGUUUAAUUGUUGGUCUCGGUCUUAACUAGGAAUGCCUUGUACGGGUCUCUGGUUCAACAUACCACCCGGAAUACGUCCCUGCCCUUUGUACACACCGCCCGUCGCUCUUACCGAUGGAUUAUGCUAUGAAUCUAUAGGACUGCCAAAGUUGCCUCGGCUGCUUAGUGGAAAUAUAUAUGAAUAGCGUGAUCUAAAGGAAAGAGAAGUCGUAACAAGGCAUCGGUAGGUGAACCU
rnacentral:rRNA from 1 species